UGACUGAGUGGCGGACGGGUGAGUAACGCGUGGAUAACCUGCCUCACACUGGGGGAUAACAGUUAGAAAUGACUGCUAAUACCGCAUAAGCGCACGCUACCGCAUGGUAGUGUGUGAAAAACUCCGGUGGUGUGAGAUGGAUCCGCGUCUGAUUAGCCAGUUGGCGGGGUAACGGCCCACCAAAGCGACGAUCAGUAGCCGACCUGAGAGGGUGACCGGCCACAUUGGGACUGAGACACGGCCCAAACUCC
rnacentral:rRNA from 1 species